rnacentral:rRNA from 1 species
AUUGAACGCUGGCGGCAGGCCUAACACAUGCAAGUCGAACGCGUGGCGGACGGGUGAGUAAUGUCUGGGAACCUGCCUGAUGGGGGGGGAUACCUCCUGAAACCGGUACUUAUUACCGCAUCCCCUCGGUGGUGCCAAGAGGGGAUUAGUUAGUAGGUGGGGUAACGGCGCACCUAGGCGACGAUCCCUAGCUGGUCUGAGAGGAUGCCCAGCCACACUGGAACUGAGACACGGUCCAGACUCCUACGUGAGGCAGCAGUGGGGAAUAUUGCACAAUGGGCGCAAGCCUGAUGAAGCCAUGCCGCGUGUAUGAAGAAGGCCUUCGGGUGGUAAAGUAGUUUCAGCGGGGAGGCGGUACCCGCAGAAGAAGCACCGGCGAACUCCGUGCCAGCAGCCGCGGUAAUAC